rnacentral:lncRNA from 1 species
UUGUCUGCCUGCAUCGAGUUAUGCUCUGUGUGGCAGUCUCUUCCCAUAUCACAAAGUCAACAGCACAUGGAAAAGUUCCUAAGGACUCUUCAUGAUCUUCCAUGCACACAAACCAGGAAGGAUAUUCUGAUUUCUUGGUAACAGUAAAAUAUAAUCCCUGUGGACAAGAAUCUUCCCAACCUCAUAAGAGCGUGCUGAUUUAUGCUGCUGCUAAAGAGCUGGAAGAAUAACAGGAAGUCUUGCUCACAGUUAACAGAAAGAUCAUGAUGUGCACGUACACUGCCUAGUCUUCCUUGCCUUCCUCUAUUUUCAAGAGGAUGUGGAGUGUGCAAUAAAGAUGCUACCAGCAGUGUCCCACACACCUCAAGACUGGGCCUGUUGAGAAUAUCACACAACAGUUGCUUCACGGACUGCACAGUCAAAUUCAGAGGAUCCUGAAAUCCUGCAGAGUCCCACAACAGAGGGAGAUUUGGUCCUUGCAUGAUUUGUUCGGAGGAGAUCCUGAUGCCUUUCCCUACUUCUAACACAAUGUUCACCUGUGAGAAGCCCCAAACACUGCUAUCUCACUGAUCUCCGGUGUUUCAGUUUACUCAUCUCCUGUCUUCCCAAAGGCAUCCCUUACUUACCAUCCUGUGAAAAGUACACUCGCUCACUGUAACAAGCUUUGAAGAUUUUCUGCACACA